rnacentral:tRNA from 1 species
GUGUUCGUAGCUCCUCCGGCAGAGCGUCCGAGUGUGAUUCGGAAGGCAGCGGGUUCAAGUCCCGCCGAUCACCCCA